rnacentral:rRNA from 1 species
GUCUCCCUGAAGAUAUAAGGAGUCUGACCUGCCCACUGAAUUAUUAAAGGGCCGCGGUAUUUCUGACCGUGCGAAGGUAGCAUAAUCAUUAGUCUUUUAAUUGAAGGCUUGUAUGAAGGGUUGGACGAGAGAAAAGCUGUCUCAGUUAAAAAAAUUGAACUUAACUUUUAAGUGAAAAGGCUUAAAUUAAUUGAAAAGACGAUAAGACCCUAUAAAUCUUUAUAUUAACAAAAUUAAAUUUUUAAUUUAUACUUUAAUAAAAAUAUUAAUCCACUAAUAUUAUGUUGGGGCGACAAGAAUAUAAUAACACCACCUGUUCUAAUUUAAAUACAUUUAUUUUUGAAUUAAAAGAUCCUUUUUAAAGAUUUCAAGAUCAAGUUACUUUAGGGAUAACAGCGUUAUUUUCUUUGAGAGUUCAUAUCGAAAAGAAAGUUUGCGACCUCGAUGUUGAAUUAAAAUUUCUUUAUGGUGCAGCCGCUAUAAAAGAAAGUCUGUUCGACUUUUAAAAUUUU